AGCUUUGUGCAGUGGCAGUAUCGUAGCCAAUGAGGUUUAUCCGAGGCGUGAUUAUUGCUAAUUGAAACUGCAUGCGUAUCCAAGAUUCC
rnacentral:snRNA from 11 species